rnacentral:lncRNA from 1 species
UCAAAGUAUUUUUUCAGUCAGUGAAUCAUCUUUUUCUUAGAUGCAUCCUUAACUAUCUAAUGAAAGAUUUUUUUCCCCCUCCUCCUAUAUUUCUCAAAGAAUAUCACAGGGAGAAUAACCCAAUGUCAUUAACUGUCCCAAUGGUGUAAAGAAAUUUUAACAGCAUGAAAUGGAAGUCUCCGGCCUUAGAAAUUAGGGUCCACUCCCAGUUGUGUAAAGUUGCCACAAGUCUACUCCUAGAAGAAAUCUCUCUCUUCCUCUCUCUCCCUCUCUCUCCGUCAGAGAGUUUACUGUGGUUGCAAACAAACGAGGAAUCAUACUAGAACUUAAAAUUCCCACUCUUACUAACCAUGACUACUUGGGAAGCCAACACAAUACUGGUGGUCAUUUCUACUGCUUCAGUAGUCUGCCGUCAGAGAACUGAUGCUUCUUUAUACAAAGUGGAUAUUUUAUUAAGUCAUCCUUAUUUUUCCUGGCUUUGAAAAUCAAAACUACCAUGAAGCCUUGUCAAAAAGUUAGUGUAACAGUUUCAUUAGAAAUCCCCUCAAAACAGUUAUAUGAUAUGAUAAAAGUUGAAGAAGAUUUUAGUUGCCUAGGUAUAAAAAUUAACUUAAUUUUCUCAGAAUUAAGAAUUUUCUUGGAAUUAAGAGGGAGAUCAAACCCCACUUUUUAACUGGUGGGCUGAGAUCAUUAUAACUGCAGAGGGAAUUCCAGGUCUCCAUGGUAAAUGACAGGCUUUUGGUUCUGCAACCCCAGAAGAGACCUUGGUUACCUGGAUUGAGGUUUUGGUCAGCUGUUGGCUACAGGAAGGCUUUCAGAAGUCACGAACAGCAAACUCCAGUCCGCAACUGGAAACCAAAGUGGAGAAAGAGUUCCAGAGCCUGCUUGAAUGCUUGUGUUUUGCAGAUUGCUCUUACUUUCCUCGGCCAAAGUAGAGAAGAUUAG